CAAUUUUUUAGUACAUUUAAUUUACUUUAACUACAGAGAGAGAUUUUCAUCAUUUUUUAAGCUACAAGUUCUAUUAUCUUGGUAAAUUUCUUAAUCUGUCUACAUCUCAGUUUCCUUAUGUGUAAAGGGAAAAAUAAAAGUAUUGGCCUUAUAGGUUUGUGGUGGAAGUGGAGAUGUACUGACAAGACUCCUUUCUUCUAGGAAAGACUUGCCCAGCUGUAAAGACAACAGUCAGCAGACAGCCUCCAUCAGUUUGUCUUUUAGGUCUGCCUGAGAUGCAGAGUCACAUUACCUGAGGUCACUCCCAUUUUCGGGAAGUGAGCAUCCAGUGAUGGUGCAGUGUGUUUAUGGGUUACAUAAAGGAUGAAUCAUUUGGGUCCCCUACUGGACAACUUUGUUGGGCAAUAUAGUUGCUUCAGAGCCCCCUGCUGGAUUGACGGUUUCUCCCUCUGGGCAAUUCUGCUUUCUUUCACAGAUUUCCCUUUCUUUUAUAGGUUUUGAUCCUGGUCAAAUAUUCUCCAAACUCUGUCCUAGCAUCUGCUUUGGGAGCACUCAAACUGCAUCAGGACGAUUGUGGAUAGUAAGACAGUAAGAACACAUCGGUCAUUCAAUGCAAUCCUUGUAUAUGGGUCUCACUGUGUUACUCAGGCUGGAAUGCAGUGGCACGAUGUUACCUUGCUGCAGCCUCUACCUCCCAGGUGAAAGAGAUCCUCCUAUGUCAGCCUCUCAAGAAGCUGGGAACACAGGGUGAAGCUAACAAUUUGCUCCUCAGUCCUGGUGUGAAUCUCUCAGCAGCAGCUAGUGCAUCACCCCUAGAAUGCCCAGGUAAGAGAUGCCUGCAUCCAUGUACACAUCCCCGGCAAUGACACAAGAGACUUGUGAGCCCCAG
rnacentral:lncRNA from 13 species